UACGUAGGGGGCAAGCGUUGUCCGGAAUUAUUGGGCGUAAAGAGCGUGUAGGCGGCCAAGUAGGUCUGCUGUGAAAACUCGAGGCUCAACUUCGAGAUGUCGGCGGAAACCAUUUGGCUAGAGUCCGGAAGAGGAGAGUGGAAUUCCUGGUGUAGCGGUGAAAUGCGCAGAUAUCAGGAAGAACACCCGUGGCGGAGGCGGCUCUCUGGGACGGUACUGACGCUGAGACGCGAAAGCGUGGGGAGCGAACAGG
rnacentral:rRNA from 1 species